GUCUACAGCCAGACCAUCCUGAACGUGCCCAAUCUCGUCUGAUCUUGGAAGCUAAAGCAGGGUCAGGCCUGGUUAGCAUGGGAGACCACCUAGGAAUACCGGGUGCUGUAGGCU
rnacentral:rRNA from 1 species